rnacentral:rRNA from 1 species
UAGGGAAUCUUCCACAAUGGACGCAAGUCUGAUGGAGCAACGCCGCGUGAGUGAAGAAGGUUUUCGGAUCGUAAAGCUCUGUUGUUGGUGAAGAAGGAUAGAGGUAGUAACUGGCCUUUAUUUGACGGUAAUCAACCAGAAAGUCACGGCUAACUACGUGCCAGCAGCCGCGGUAAUACGUAGGUGGCAAGCGUUGUCCGGAUUUAUUGGGCGUAUAGCGAGCGCAGGCGGAAGAAUAAGUCUGAUGUGAAAGCCCUCGGCUUAACCGAGGAACUGCAUCGGAAACUGUUUUUCUUGAGUGCAGAAGAGGAGAGUGGAAUUCCAUGUGUAGCGGUGGAAUGCGUAGAUAUAUGGAAGAACACCAGUGGCGAAGGCGACUCUCUGGUCUGCAACUGACGCUGAGGCUCGAAAGCAUGGGUAGCGAACAGG